rnacentral:rRNA from 1 species
AGAGUUUGAUCCUGGCUCAGAUUGAACGCUGGCGGCAUGCCUUACACAUGCAAGUCGAACGGCAGCACGGGUGCUUGCACCUGGUGGCGAGUGGCGAACGGGUGAGUAAUAUAUCGGAACGUACCUUAUUGUGGGGGAUAACGCAGCGAAAGCUGUGCUAAUACCGCAUAAUCCCUAAGGGGGAAAGCGGGGGACCGUAAGGCCUCGCGCAAUUAGAGCGGCCGAUACCUGAUUAGCUAGUUGGUGAGGUAAAGGCUCACCAAGGCAACGAUCAGUAGCUGGUCUGAGAGGACGAUCAGCCACACUGGGACUGAGACACGGCCCAGACUCCUACGGGAGGCAGCAGUGGGGAAUUUUGGACAAUGGGGGCAACCCUGAUCCAGCAAUGCCGCGUGAGUGAAGAAGGCCUUCGGGUUGUAAAGCUCUUUUGUCAGGGAAGAAACAGCAGCUCUAACACAGUUUGCGAAUGACGGUACCUGAAGAAUAAGCACCGGCUAACUACGUGCCAGCAGCCGCGGUAAUACGUAGGGUGCAAGCGUUAAUCGGAAUUACUGGGCGUAAAGCGUGCGCAGGCGGUUAUGUAAGACAGGCGUGAAAUCCCCGGGCUUAACCUGGGAAUUGCGCUUGUGACUGCAUAGCUAGAGUAUGUCAGAGGGGGGUAGAAUUCCACGUGUAGCAGUGAAAUGCGUAGAGAUGUGGAGGAAUACCAAUGGCGAAGGCAGCCCCCUGGGAUAAUACUGACGCUCAUGCACGAAAGCGUGGGGAGCAAACAGGAUUAGAUACCCUGGUAGUCCACGCCCUAAACGAUGCUGACUAGUUGUUCGGGAAUUUAUUCCUGAGUAACGUAGCUAACGCGUGAAGUCAGCCGCCUGGGGAGUACGGUCGCAAGAUUAAAACUCAAAGGAAUUGACGGGGACCCGCACAAGCGGUGGAUGAUGUGGAUUAAUUCGAUGCAACGCGAAAAACCUUACCUACCCUUGA